GAGUGUCUUUGAUAAGCUUCUUGUGAUUUAUUUUGCUAUUUUGUGUGGCACUCAGGUUUUUCUUGAAGAGUUCUAUUAUUUGUAUUGUGAGGUAUUUUGGGUGAGUGAUUUGUAACAAUUGGGAUCGAUGUUAGAGUGACAAUUAUUUUUUUGUGUAAAGGUAGAUUGGGCUUAAGCCAAUAAGUAAUUUAGACGAUUGUUGAAUAAAAUCAUUCACCGAGCGAGGCCCUGUAGAGUUAACAAAUAUUGCAUGUUAUUUAUCCUUACUUUACUCAUUGCUUUACUUUGCAUUUAAUCUAUUCUACUCGAUUUUGUCCCAUUCCCCAUUAAAGCGAAACUGUAUUGCAAUCAACCAAGUUAUCUGUUUGAACAAUAGUUGGAAUGAAGUGCAAAUUGAAGCUUUCUCAAGUAUAAUUAGCCAAUCUUUUCUAAACCGUCCAAAUAGUACCUAUGAAGAGAUUACAACAACCAAUAUUUUUUAUGCCAUAAAAGACCUUUCAUUGAAAUGCAAGACACAAAGUAUUGAAUUUACAAAUUCAAUUCAGAACAAAAUAGUAGGAAGUAGACAAAAAAAAACAUUAUCACCAAAAAAAAAGAAUCAACAAAAAGUUCUGAAAUUCACAUUCAGCCAUCCUUGGUCUUUUUGAAGCUUGUGACUGUUGUGUUGGAGGAGUGGGGGUAAUGAAGUCUUAGACUUAAGCACCAUUUGACUGUGAAUAGUUGACCAAAAGGUGUC
rnacentral:lncRNA from 1 species